GGGUCCGGACACACUGAGGAUUGACAGGCAAUUAUUGCUAACAGUUUCUUUUUUUAAAAGUACUGUUGCAACAACAAAUAUGCUAGUCCUUUCAUGAUUAUGUGAUAGGUGGUGCAUGGCCGUUCUUAGUUCGUGGAGUGAUCUGUCUGCUUAAUUGCGUUUCAUUAUGGACCAUGUUAUAACAUGUACUAUCUCUUGAUUUUCAAAUUUUCAUUUAUUUGAGAUUUGUUAUAAAGAAGGAGUUUUGGUGCAAUUGGUCCUGAAAGCAACGAACGUGACCGCAUCCUCUUGUUGCCUUUUUAACUUGGCAUUUUUUUAAUUUAUUUUAACAUUUUUGUCAUAACAUAAGAGGCUUUCAGAAAACUAGAGGGACCGCUGCGACUUUUUUAAACCAGAGGAAGGUUGCGGCAAUAACAGGUCUGUGAUGCCCUUAGAUGUUCCGGGCUGCACACGUGCUACAAUGAUUAUUGCAGUGAGCAUCUCAUUUUAUUUUUUGUGCUUGUCUUGUCUGCGAGUUUAUUCUCAACGACGACAGCCUUAGCCUGCUUCGAAAGUUCGCAGGU
rnacentral:rRNA from 1 species